AACAUCGCGCACCUGCGGGAACCUGCGGAGGGAUCAUUACUGAGUGCGGGUUCCAAUGAGCCCAACCUCCCACCCGUGUUUACCGUAACCGCGUUGCCUCGGCGGGCCCACUGGGGCCUGUCCCCGGUCGCCGGGGGGCAUCUGCCCCCGGGCCCGCGCCCGCCGAAGCGCCCUAGAACCCUGCCUGAACAGUGAGUCUGAGUGAGUGAUUGAAUCAUUAAAACUUUUAACAAUGGAUCU
rnacentral:misc_RNA from 1 species